rnacentral:snRNA from 1 species
GGAUGUGAGGGCAAUCUGGCUACUACAUCUAUUACCCCAUUGAUUUCCAGAGUUGAUUAGGCUGAUCUGGCUGGUGAGGCAGGCAUUCCCUUCCUUCAUCACUGUUCCCUGUGCAUUCUUUCAGAAGCUGGACACUUAGUAAAGAGGAUAACCUUCCCCUAAGAGGAAGCCCAUUCUUCAGUCAAGGGCGUAUGAGUAGCUGUGCUCCCCUUAGAAUUUUUAACAUAGAAUUAUAGAUUUUUAACAUAGAAUCCUAGCCUCACUGCAAAACUUGACCAGUGUUGAGAUUAGGGGUUGUCUCUGCUU